AGAUUGAACGCUGGCGGCAGGCCUAACACAUGCAAGUCGAGCGGCAGCACGGGUACUUGUACCUGGUGGCGAGCGGCGGACGGGUGAGUAAUGCCUAGGAAUCUGCCUGGUAGUGGGGGAUAACGCUCGGAAACGGACGCUAAUACCGCAUACGUCCUACGGGAGAAAGCAGGGGACCUUCGGGCCUUGCGCUAUCAGAUGAGCCUAGGUCGGAUUAGCUGGUUGGUGAGGUAAUGGCUCACCAAGGCGACGAUCCGUAACUGGUCUGAGAGGAUGAUCAGUCACACUGGAACUGAGACACGGUCCAGACUCUACGGGAGGCAGCAGUGGGAAUAUUGGACAAGUGGGCGAAAGCCUGAAUCCAGCCAUGCCGCGUGUGUGAAGAAGGUCUUCGGAUUGUAAAGCACUUAAGUUGGAGAGGCAGUACCUAAUACGUAUCUGUUUGACGUUACGACGAAGAAUAACGCAACCGGUCUAACGUC
rnacentral:rRNA from 1 species